AGUCGUAACAAGGUUUCCGUAGGUGAACCUGCGGAAGGAUCAUUAUCACGUAUCCACGUAUAAACCACUGCGAACUGUAUUCCCUUCAAAAGGGUUGAGGUCUCCUUCGGGGAGCUUUAGGCCAGUAGUCCUCUCGAUUUCGUGAUGGAGGGGCGGUCUAGAGUUGUCUCACGACACCUUGGUUCUUUUGGAGCGGUUAUCCAUCACGAACCGUUUCAAACCUUAUUAACCCCUUUAAACUUUUUUGAACUGAAUCUGUAAGCCUUUUGAAUGUCCCUCGGGACGAUCAAAGUGUCUUAUACUUUACGAAAUAUUCGAACAAUUCUUAACAACGGAUAUCUUGGCUCUGAUAACGAUGAAGAACGCAGC
rnacentral:misc_RNA from 1 species